rnacentral:lncRNA from 1 species
CUCACACUCCCCAAGAGGAAACUAACUCUCCAGCACUCCAGCCCGACGUGCAGGCCCAUAUAUGUAGAUCAGCAGCAUGGUCCCAACACAAGUUGAGGGAUUGCUCCCUGAUCCUCUUGACUCAACUGCUGGUGCUCCAAGAGAUCCAAGCUUCUACAUUACUGCCACCAUUGGUGAGCAAGGUGAGUCUAAACAAUCACGUUACUCAAUAAAAAAAUUUAAAAAUUAUUAAAGCACAGGUGCAAGAAACAAAACAAUAUAUAUGUUUGUUAGUGUGGACAGAAUCUCCAAGUUCUGCGAGAUGAGUAUGAAUCCAAACUUCGAGCACGGUGCAACACCAACCUGUUCCACCUCCUGAUCUCAGGCGACCCUCUUUCUUCAAGCUCCAUGCUCAUCCCUAAUUCAAACUUAGUACACAGCAGUAAUGAGGAAAAGAAAGAUCAGUCCUGCAGCACUGGAGGAGUCCAGGCCCCAAACAUCACUGCUGGGUCAAGUCAGUUUUUUUCUGUCGCAGAGAUGAGCAGACGAGGAAAUGCUGCUGAUGGUGCAGUCUUGGAGGAGAUGCCAUACCUGGAGAUCCUGUGUCCCUCGGAUGCAACAAAUAAAAGUCUAAAGGCAGAAGGAGGACCACAGGAGAAAGAGCAGGGAAGCCUUCAAAGUUACGAGAAACAGGGAUCAUUGAUUGCUCUUGCUUGGAGCAAACCAUCAGAAAAUGACACCGACUGUGAUGCAGAGGCUGCAGGUGGAGGCACAGGACAGAGCCAGGACAACGAGAGCAGUCUGAGGACACAAGUCCAACUCAGUGACAUAAGCAGCACAGGUGAAUACACACAGCGUGGGGAGACUUCUACAGAGAGCCAUGACGGUGAUGAAGAGGUGAAACUCACUUUGAUCCAGGCUGAUUCCAAAGGUCACCAUGGUGCACAGUCUGCAGAGAAACAGCGCAGCACAAGAGGACAGUACGACUCUGGCCUCGCAGACAGUGAGGCAAUGAUCAAAGAGAGAGACAAAGAAUCCACAAUGACAGAUGAAGUUCAAAUGAGAGAUCCAUUUUCAGCAAUGGAGAGAGAAAGAACAAUGCGCAGCCUGGUGGACAUGCAAAGGAAAGUGGAACAGAGGCAGCUGAGAGACAGAGAGAGACAACUGUUAAGGGUAAGAACAAUGUGGACAGAGGGCCACUUUAAGAGUACUCCGAUCACUGUGAAUAAAUGGCAGAGGUGA